rnacentral:lncRNA from 1 species
ACAGACAACCCAGCCAAGUCUUGAAAGACUCCUGACAUUCAUCCACGUGCUGCAACUCACUUGUUUCCUAUUCUUAUUCAUUUAAUUACUCAAAAAAUUUUUAUUUUAAUUUUAACUGGAUGCCAGGCGCUUACUACAUGAUUUAAAGAGAUACAAGCUCUACCUCAAGGCACAGGAAUAAGAGCCUGUGAAGUCUAAAACACCCUGGAGGGCAAAAGUAAAGCUAUCCUGGGCUAGGUCAGGGAGGAUCUCAGCAGGUGGAGGCAGGCAGAGAAGGCAAGAGAAGGUCGCUCUCUUGAGGAGUGAUUGAGCAAGAUAAAAAGCAGAGGAGUCCUGGGGUGCAGGAAGCUACAGGCAGAUCCUUGCUGGGACCUGACAUGCAUGUAGGUGGGCAGCAGGAGGGGGCCCCGUGGCAGGGAGGACAGGGACUCAGGUCCUGAGUGGUCCUUCAGUGAACACCGAGUUCCUGCUGGAAGCGCCACACACCCCUGCUGUCAUGGAGCAGAUGAGUAGGUGGCAUUAGGUCAUCGAUGCUGCUCAGGAAGCAGCAGAUGACAAGGAGGGGAGGCAGCGAGACCCUCUGCAGAGGAGCACGACCACCAUCCAGGAGGAUGAGCCAGGCAGAGCAGCCGGCAGAGAAGCACCUGCCCAGAUUCCGUCCAUUUCCG